AUACUACUCCCUCCGUCUCAUAUUAAGUGAUUCAAAUUUGCUCAAAUAUGAAUGUAUCUAUACUCAAAAAGUGUCUAAAUACAUUUAAUAUUGUGUCACUUAUUAUGGGACGGAGAGAGUAUUUU
rfam:Brachypodium distachyon strain Bd21 chromosome 1, whole genome shotgun sequence.